GGCAACGCGUGGCCGGAGGGUGGGGCAGGACGUAGUGGGGAGGCGUGGUCCGGAGUCAGUGGGCGUAAGGCGGGCGCAGGCGGGGAUCUGCGUCUGGGGUGAAAGCCCGGAGCUCAAUGCCGGGACUGCCUUGGAUACGGGUUCGCUUGAGGAUUGGGGAGGCAAGGGGAAGUCCACGUGUAGCGGUGAAAUGCGUAGAGAUGUGGAGGAACACCUGUGGCGAAGGCGCCUUGCUGGCCAAUUUCUGACGCUGAGGCGCGAAAGCGUGGGGAGCAAACAGGAUUAGAUACCCCUGUAGUC
rnacentral:rRNA from 1 species